AACUUUGUAAAGUACUAUAAGUAAUUAAAUCCCACAAUCUAAUUUAUUUGAUAAAUCGUUGACAUGGAAGUGAUGUACGUAGUAUUUUAAUUACUGUCGUAUCAUCAACCACAGCGUUACUAUAACAUUCAGCAUUAGCACCGCAUCAACAUUUAUCUAACUUUAUUUCUAGAGCAAGUGGCAAAGGGCUUGGUGGUUGGUACCCGAGACCCAAGUUCGAAUCCUAGUUGAUUCAUAUUUCUAGCUAAGUUUAUUUCUCAAAGAAAUAAACGAAGCGGGUAGCGUGCUACCUAUCUCUCUCAAAAAAAAAAACAAAAAAAAUAAAAAAAAAAACAUUUAUCUCACUAAUUUGAGUUGUGGUACUUAAUUACAAUAAUUCAGAAAGUUCGAGUCAGAAAUUACAACUUAUGAAAGUUUGAGGACCAAAAUAUCACGUGACUCAUAUCUUGAGGACGAAAAGUAGUG
rnacentral:lncRNA from 1 species